CUCGGAGUUUGAUCUGGCUCAGGAUGAACGCUAGCGGCAGGCUUAACACAUGCAAGUCGAGGGGUAUAGUUCUUCGGAGCUAGAGACCGGCGCACGGGUGCGUAACGCGUAUGCAAUCUACCUUUUACAGGGGAAUAGCCCAGAGGAAAUUUGGAUUAAUACCUCAUAGUAUGCAGAGUUGGCAUCAACACUGCAUUAAAGUCACAACGGUAAAAGAUGAGCAUGCGUCCCAUUAGCUUGUUGGUAAGGUAACGGC
rnacentral:rRNA from 1 species